rnacentral:lncRNA from 1 species
GAAUAUUGAAAACUGGCUUUAUUGGAGAGCAAAAUUGAAAAUUAUCUGAAAUCUUAAAGAUAAGCCUUACAAAAUUUAAGUUUGUUGUGGUUACUUAGCUGCAAUAGAAAAUACAAAUUGACCUUUUAAAGUAGAUUAGUGAAAACUUGUAUUGGUGAAAUAUUUGAAGUAAUUAUUUGGAGAUUUAAAGUUAUGCAAGUAUUUAUAGCUUCUUGCACUGACCUAGCCAAAAUAAUUGUUUAUUUAAAUUUUCAACAAAAAACACAGUAUGUCUUUAAAAUGAAAUCCCUUCAUCUGAUUUUGCAAUGUCCUUCAAGACUUAAAAUUAGUUCUCUAUAGUUCCUCAAAAUAGUCUAACAAGGAAGUUGAUUGAAAAUUCAGGUUUAAUUACUGUUAAAAGAUGCCAUGUGAUUUAUGAGUAUAAAUUUGAAGAAUAAAUUGAAAAACACC